rnacentral:misc_RNA from 1 species
UUCCUUGGAUGUUUAUGAUAGAUAGUAGGGAUAAUUAAAAAAAAAAUUUAGUAAUUUUGAUAUUGAAUCUUUUAUUUUUUUUCCUUAAUUAUGAUGAACAUAUAUAUCUAUACGUUUCCAAAGCUUAAGAUGAAAAUAUGUCCAAGGGUUCACCUAAAGUGAAUUAGAGCAAAUUCGAAGCCAAGUAUUUGGAUAUUAAUUACAAGGGUUCAAAUUGAAAGUUAGAAUCAAGCAUUAGGGCUUUUAUGUUAUUGUCCCCAACCUAGAUAUUCUCUUACCAACACUUUAUAAUUAAUUCAAGUGUGUAUGUAUAAAAGAAGAGUAACUCAGAGCACGAAGAAUCUCACACUUACAAAUUUUGAAGAUAAAUUUUUAUUAUUUAAGGUAUUUUAAUUUUAAGAUCACAUCUUUCAAUUAUAGAUUACAAGUAAUUUGAUCACAUAACUUCCACAUUUAUCAAGAAAAAGAGGUAAAUUUUCCGUUAAUAAAUUCAAGAACUAUUUGAAGAACUAAAGAUAAAAACAUAAAAAGCCAACAAUUAACAAAUAGGAAAGAUUCACAAUAAUAGAGCUUAUGAAAUCAACUACCAAACAAUUCAUCAAAUUGUGGCUGUUGAAACAGAAAUCAACCACUAAGAUUACAUCAUUUCCUUUCAAACAAAACCCUAAAUGUUCUUCUCAUGUAUCCUAUAUGAAAUUUGAAUUUUCCUAAAGUAAAAAACCAAAUUUUCUUUUCCUUUCCUUUUAUUUAAAACCUUCAGUUAUCAUUAAUUAUGUCUCAAAUCCUGUAUGGAACCACAAAAAAGAAUUUAUAUAUAGAAUUUAUCCGUAAUUAAUUUAAAAUUAAGAUUUAAUUAAUUUAUGUAUAUAUAUACAUUAGAUGACAAUGUAUUUCAAUUAUUGACAUAAAUUAGAUAUCAAAUCACAAUUCUUUUUGUAUUGGGAUUGGGAAUAUCUAGUUUUUGCUUAUGCUAAUUAAUGAAGCAGCAAAUUAAAAACACAACAGCAGAAACAAUCUACAGGGUUUAUAUGUUGGGUGUUGACACAAAUUCUUUUAAAAAAAAAAUUAAAUAACUGAUGCAAAGUUGCAACUACAAUCUAUUAGGUGGAUAUUUUAUGUUAGAUUUUCAAUUAUCCACUAGUUGUUAAUUUGUUAUUGUUAUCUUGUAAGAAGUACCAUUGCUCUUUCCAAUUUUUCCAUAUCCAUAGCAAUCUGCAAUUAAUAAGUAAUUCAGACAGUAUCAUCUAAAUUUUUGUUAAUCUAAAUUGGCCGUUAGCUUUGAACAAAAAGAUUGUUCAAACUCCAACUCUAACAAUAUAACAAUGAUAGUAUUGUAGGGAUUUCUUCACAAAUAUGCUACAAAUCAAUAGGGAAUUCUUCAAUCUAUGCUAUAAAUCAAUCAAAGUCUAGAAGAUAGCUAUAAACACUACAGUAAUGAUAAUGAUGCAUAAGAUCAAUCUAAUAAUUUCUUUUCAAUUAAUAACAGUAGCAUUCCUUAGCCUAAAAGAAACUUUUUGUUGUUGAAUUGAUUGUCAAUAACCAAUGAGUACAUUGAACCAUUCAAUUGAGUGUAGCCAAUAUUUUAUGGGGACAUCCUUGCAGGGUUGUUGUUUGUGGUUGUCUAGAGUCUAGCAAAGUGAGUACUAGUACCUUUCUUAUCCAAGAGCAGAAGUAGUACUAUGAUGUUUUGAAAGAAGAGAGAAAAGAAUGCUUCUGAUAUAAACUGAUCAUGCUAAUAAUAUCUAGCAAUAAUAGGACACACUAAUAUGUCUAAUCCUUGAAAAUUUUGUAUUCUUAGCAUAUCUCCCCAUGAUUCUGCCUCCACAUCCCCCACUCAAUAAUGAAAAUAAAUAAUAUUUUGUUAAUAGAAACCAAGCCAUUCUCUUGUUUUUCCAGUUUUGUUGAAACGGUAUGAUUUUUCCAAGAUUGAACAAUGAGAUCAUCAAUGACACAAUAAGUAGCCAGGCCAAAAAGAAAGGAAAAUGGAGAAAAAUAUAUGGGA